rnacentral:sRNA from 1 species
AAUGGAUCACAGGAGCCUCAGGAAGAUGACCCUGGAGACAGCAUCUCCUGGAGAAGUGUCUGCCAGAGUUUAUGAGUCCCAUGUAAAUAUGCCUGGAUGCCGCUGCCAGUGACCUUUACACUGUUUGCAUUUCAGGAAGGCUCCAAACAGAGUUUCUGUCCUUGCAGAGCCUUAGGAUUCUAGACUACACUUGGGAAAAACAAUAACUAAACCAGAUUCCACCUGAGCUGAAAUACAGAAGUGACAAUGUGGGGAAUGUCAUCAUAACACCUUUCUCCUCCCUGGGUGAGCCCUGGGCCUUAAGAAUUGUGUGCAGUACUUCCUGCACGGAGCACUCGGUCCCAGCAACUUUCACAGAUUUUGAUCUGUGUGUCCUUGGUGGCAUUGGUACAUAAAACUGCUUGUGUACAAUUCAGGGUCUGCUUGUUCCUUCCGAAUAAACCACAGCUAUUCCUUGUCAUCAUAAGAGUCAAGAAAAAGACUGAAGAACAUUAGUUCGCAGGAAGAACAAAGACCAAGACAAGAACAACCUCAAGUAACAUUACAGACUGGGUACUUUCUUUCACAUAUACUUACUAUACUCUACUGUGUCUGUCUUUCUCUCACAAAUAUGUCCCUUUAUGUUUUUUCAUUUGAUUGUUUUUUAAAGAUACUUAAUUGUAGUUAAUGAUCAGUUUUACAGACAUCUCAGAUACAUUUUUGAAAAGACAUAAGAAGUUAGAUCUAGGGAUGGGUUGGUUUUUAGAUAGAUGGAGAGAGAUAGAUGGGUGGAUGUAGAUGUCUGAAUGGAUUAAGAUUGGAUGACUGAGUUGAUUGAAGAAUGGAUGGAUAAAUACAGUUGAAUGGAUGGAUGUAGUUGGAGAGUAGGAUGACAAUUAGAUGUAUGAGUUUUUGGAUGGAUGGAUGGAUGGAUGGAUGGAUGGAUGGAUGGAAUAUUAGAUACUCAUUUGACAAAGUUAUACAAAUUAUCUUUGAAAUUAUGACCUUUACAAGGUUAUUCUAAGAGGAGGAGGGACUCUCCACUAUAAGGGAGAACUGUUUUUAUGAGGAAGGGAGGUGGGUGAGGGGAAUCUCUAUUGCACUAAUCUUUGGUGGACAGAGCUAAUUAAAUAAGUGACUUAGCACUCACAUCAUCUGGUUAAUGCACCACCAAAUGGGCCCCAGAUACUUCGGUCAUUAUACUGAUGGAAAGCUUUUGGGGAGAGAAAACACAUCUCCCUGUGAUCACCCUGUAAUUAUCCAUUUCUUGCCUCGCUCUUGCUGGUUUUGAUAAGAUCCAUUAGGCUAAUAAUUACAGGCUCUGCUAAUGUACGAUGACUCUAUAGACAUACGCUUCUUUCAGUCACUGUGUGAGACUGAAAUACGUUAACCUCUUAAAUGUCUUCAAUCAUAGGCUGUGUCAGACCUGUAUUAACAGCCUGGCUCCACUGCCCAGGCUCCUGCUAGCUGCACACAUGUGUGGAAACAAAGCCUUUUCAUUUUGCUCAUGGCUAUUUCCCUUUUUAGGAACAUGAAAUGAAAUACUGUGUUUAUCCUGUAGGUCCCAAGAAUGUACGUCAGCUGCAAUGCCUGAAAUAGACAUGGUUUGUUGCCCUAAAUAUUUGAUUCUUGAGUCAAGUUAUUAUAAUUGCUAGACAUCUUUCUUUAAAUAGAAGGGGAAGCAUAACAGCGCGUUUGAAAUAAAUGCCAUGUGAAGAUGUAGCAUGGUUCCUCUUUAAAAAAUAUAAUAUCCCUAGGCUUAACGGAUGCGCUAAAUACUGAUGAGUUUUUUAACUUAUCUGAAGUUCUGUAGCUUUAAGGAGGCAGGAUUAAAAGGUCUCAAGGUUAGGAGAAGGUUUGUAGCAGUUAAAGGGAUUUCGGUUACAAAAAGACAUAAACUUAACACAGCCUUUUGUAAAACCAUUGCAUUGUUGAUCAGCCAAGGCUCUAACCCUAAGGCUGCUGUUUCUGUUAGUCUGAUAAGUGUAUUCAGAUUAAAGAGUGACGGCAAAUACACUUACCACAGACAAAGCUUUGCACAGGGCAACCUAACUGCCUUUGAAUUUCUUGAUAACUUAUCUUCCACAAGCAGAGCAGAGCUGAAGCUGCCAGGCCACCUUGACAUCUAAGGAGAUGGCCUUCAGACAGAGAUAUCUUCAAGGAGUCUUGCUUGGGAUGUAAUCAAGUCAAAGAAGAAAAUAGAGACUAGGAGUUUCUGGGUGUUCCUGGAAUAUGCAUUGUGGUGUGAAAUGCCCACUAACAUCCCAGUCUGAUUCUUGUGAUGUUG